rnacentral:tRNA from 1 species
GAUGAAUAUAGCUUAAUUGGCAAAGCUUAAGUUUGUGGUUCUUAAAUAUAAGAGUUCAAAUCUCUUUUUUCAUC